rnacentral:rRNA from 1 species
UACAGAGGUCUCAAGCGUUGUUCGGAUUCAUUGGGCGUAAAGGGUGUGUAGGUGGCGCGCUAAGUCGGGUGUGAAAUUUCGGAGCUUAACUCCGAAACUGCAUUCGAUACUGGCGUGCUUGAGGACUGGAGAGGAGACUGGAAUUCAUGGUGUAGCGUGAAAUGCGUAGAGAUCAUGAGGAAGACCAGUGGCGAAGGCGGGUCUCUGGACAGUUCCUGACGCUGAGGCACGAAGGUCAGGGGAGCAACGGG